GAUGAACGCUGGCGGCGUGCCUAAUACAUGCAAGUCGAGCGAACAGACGAGGAGCUUGCUCCUCUGACGUUAGCGGCGGACGGGUGAGUAACACGUGGAUAACCUACCUAUAAGACUGGGAUAACUUCGGGAAACCGGAGCUAAUACCGGAUAAUAUAUUGAACCGCAUGGUUCAAUAGUGAAAGACGGUUUUGCUGUCACUUAUAGAUGGAUCCGCGCCGCAUUAGCUAGUUGGGAAGGUAACGGCUUACCAACGCAACGAUGCGUAGCCGACCUGAGAGGGUGAUCGGCCACACUGGAACUGAGACACGGUCCAGACUCCUACGGGAGGCAGCAGUAGGGAAUCUUCCGCAAUGGGCGAAAGCCUGACGGAGCAACGCCGCGUGAGUGAUGAAGGUCUUCGGAUCGUAAAACUCUGUUAUUAGGGAAGAACAAAUGUGUAAGUAACUAUGCACGUCUUGACGGUACCUAAUCAGAAAGCCACGGCUAACUACGUG
rnacentral:rRNA from 1 species